GACGAACCGUGCGAACGUUGUUCGGAUUCACUGGGCUUAAAGGGUGCGUAGGCGGGCUGUCAAGUCUGGGGUGAAAUCCGGCAGCUUAACUGUCGAACUGCCUCAGAUACUGAUGGCCUCGAGGGAGGUAGGGGCAUGCGGAACUGUAGGUGGAGCGGUGAAAUGCGUUGAUAUCUACAGGAACUCCGGUGGCGAAAGCGGCGUGCUGGACCUCUUCUGACGCUGAGGCACGAAAGCUAGGGGAGCAAACGGG
rnacentral:rRNA from 1 species